rnacentral:rRNA from 1 species
CAGCCGCCGCGGUAAUACGAAGGGUGCAAGCGUUACUCGGAAUUACUGGGCGUAAAGCGUGCGUAGGUGGUGGUUUAAGUCCGUUGUGAAAGCCCUGGGCUCAACCUGGGAAUUGCAGUGGAUACUGGGUCACUAGAGUGUGGUAGAGGAUAGUGGAAUUUCCGGUGUAGCAGUGAAAUGCGUAGAGAUCGGAAGGAACAUCUGUGGCGAAGGCGACUACCUGGGCCAACACUGACACUGAGGCGCGAAAGCGUGGGGAGCAAACAGGAUUAGAUACCCGCGUAGUCCCUGUCUCUUAUAC